UUAGUUUUUAGAUUAUUUAUAGUCUAUUAAUUCAAUCCCGGGGCGUUCUAUAUAGUUAUGUAUAAUAAUAUUUAUAUUAUUUAUACCUCUAACUAGAGCGUACCUUGAGCAUAUAUGCUGUGACCCGAAAGAUGGUGAACUAUACUUGAUCAGGUUGAAGUCAGGGGAAACCCUGAUGGAAGACCGAAACAGUUCUGACGUGCAAAUCGAUUGUCAGAAUUGAGUAUAGGGGCGAAAGACCAAUCGAACCAUCUAGUAGCUGGUUCCCUCCGAAGUUUCCCUCAGGAUAGCUGGUGCAUUUAAAUAUUAUGUAAAAUAAUCUUAUCUGGUAAAGCGAAUGAUUAGAGGCCUUAGGGUCGAAACGACCUUAACCUAUUCUCAAACUUUAAAUGGGUAAGAACCUCACCUUUCUUGGUAUGAAGGUUGUGGUUGUGAUAUAAUGUGCCCAGUGGGCCACUUUUGGUAAGCAGAACUGGCGCUGUGGGAUGAACCAAACGUAAUGUUACGGUGCCCAAAUUAACAACUCAUGCAGAUACCAUGAAAGGCGUUGGUUGCUUAAAACAGCA
rnacentral:rRNA from 1 species